GAUGAACGCUGGCGGCGUGCCUAAUACAUGCAAGUCGAGCGAACAGACGAGGAGCUUGCCCCUCUGACGUUAGCGGCGGACGGGUGAGUAACACGUGGAUAACCUACCUAUAAGACUGGGAUAACUUCGGGAAACCGGAGCUAAUACCGGAUAAUAUAUUGAACCGCAUGGUUCAAUAGUGAAAGACGGUUUUGCUGUCACUUAUAGAUGGAUCCGCGCCGCAUUAGCUAGUUGGUAAGGUAACGGCUUACCAAGGCAACGAUGCGUAGCCGACCUGAGAGGGUGAUCGGCCACACUGGAACUGAGACACGGUCCAGACUCCUACGGGAGGCAGCAGUAGGGAAUCUUCCGCAAUGGGCGAAAGCCUGACGGAGCAACGCCGCGUGAGUGAUGAAGGUCUUCGGAUCGUAAAACUCUGCUAUUAGGGAAGAACAAAUGUGUAAGUAACUAUGCACGUCUUGACGGUACCUAAUCAGAAAGCCACGGCUAACUACGUG
rnacentral:rRNA from 1 species